AUUGAACGCUGGCGGCAGGCCUCACACAUGCAAGUCGAACGAGUGGCGGACGGGUGAGUAAUGUCUGGGAAACUGCCCGAUGGAGGGGGAUACCUACUGUAAACGGUAGCUAAUACCGCAUACCAUCGGAUGGUCCCAGAUGUGAUUAGCUGGUAGGUGGGGUAACGGCUCACCUAGGCGACGAUCACUAGAUGGUCUGAGAGGAUGACAAGCCACACUGGAACUGAGACACGGUCCAGACUCCUACGGAAGGCAGCAGUGGGGAAUAUUGCACAAUGGGCGCAAGCCUGAUGCAGCCAUGCCGCGUGUAUGAAGAAGUCCUUCGGGUUGUAAAGUCCUUUCAGCGAGGAGGCGUUACUCGCAGAAGAAGCACCGGCUAACUCCGUGCCAGCAGCCGCGGUAAUUC
rnacentral:rRNA from 1 species